CAUGCCUUACACAUGCAAGUCGAACGCGAAAGUGUCUUCGGACAUUAGUAGAGUGGCAAACGGGUGAGUAACGCGUGGGAAUCUACCUUAUAGUACGGAAUAGCCUCGGGAAACUGGGAUUAAUACCGUAUAUUCCCUUCGGGGGAAAGAUUUAUCGCUAUAAGAUGAGCCCGCGUCAGAUUAGCUAGUUGGUGGGGUAAAAGCCUACCAAGGCAACGAUCUGUAGCUGGUCUGAGAGGACGAUCAGCCACAUUGGGACUGAGACACGGCCCAAACUCCUACGGGAGGCAGCAGUGGGGAAUAUUGGACAAUGGACGAAAGUCUGAUCCAGCAAUGCCGCGUGAAUGAUGAAGGCCUUAGGGUUGUAAAGUUCUUUAAGUGGGGAAGAUAAUGACGGUACCCACAGAAUAAGCACCGGCUAACUUCGUGCCAGCAGCCGCCGUAA
rnacentral:rRNA from 1 species